rnacentral:lncRNA from 1 species
CUAAUUUCCCAGUAAUCCAACUUAUUCCAAACACUCCACCCACAAGGCAGCAAGUGAGGGAAAAAAUAGAAUUCUGCUUGAAGAUGCUUUUCAGUCAACUCUCUCUAGCUCAUAAAUCAGCGCUUCUCCAAGAGUGUUAUGAACCCUGCACCCUCCUUGUCAGUGCUGAUUUCUGCACCCAUCUCCCAGUUACCAUCUGGAAUAGAAUCCAAUAGUGAUCCACCAAUGGACAAUUUUUGCUAUGAAGGAGGAAAGAGAGGACAGAUUUGAUUACAACAAAAGCAUCCCAAGAAUGUGUCCUGCAUGAGCUCUUCAGGCUGUGAAAUCUUGAACUUCUACACCCAUCCUUGGCUGGCUUUUUCCAUGUGAGGCCAUAUA